rnacentral:sRNA from 1 species
UGAUAGCUACACUUCACCUAAUGUCGCGAAGAUGGUAGAAGAGGUCAAGGGAGUAGACGUUGUCCUCGUCGGCGAAGUAGACGAUGCCGUGUAGGCGGUGGUGCUCGAUGUGAUCCAGCGCCGUGUUCCGCUGGCGGGCGCGGCUGUCAACAGCCGGGCGGUCCUGCCUCCGUCCGCGGCGGCGGGGACGAUCCUGGGGCGCGUCGGGGACGGGGGAGGAGAGGUGGCGGUACAUGACCCCGCAGCCGCGGAGGAGCGCGGCCGUGUCGCGCGUGGCGGCGCCGGACUCGACGACGAGCCAGAGCAGCGGGGACGGCGCGAGGCGGAGCGUGUGCGCGAGCCGGCGCAGGUAGUACGCCUGCAGCGGGCGUGCGCGGGUCGGCGUCACGACCAGCAGCAGCUUCCGCUCCUCCGCCGCCGCCGGCAACGGGGUGUCGACGUCGACGACGACGGACGGCGGGUCCUCCCUGACGAGGAUGGCGGUCGCAGGGGGAGGGAGCGGGAGGUGGAGGUCGAGGUGGAGGUGGCGGUGGGCGAAGGGGAAGAGGCCCGCGACGAAGCCGAGGAGGAAGCAGAGGAGGAAGCACGGCGCGGAGAUG